rnacentral:rRNA from 1 species
UACGAAGGGGGCUAGCGUUGCUCGGAAUCACUGGGCGUAAAGCGCACGUAGGCGGAUCUUUAAGUCAGGGGUGAAAUCCUGGAGCUCGACUCCAGAACUGCCUUUGAUACUGAGGAUCUCGAGUCCGGAAGAGGUGAGUGGAACUCCUAGUGUAGAGGUGGAAUUCGUAGAUAUUAGGAAGAACACCGGUGGCGAAGGCGACUCACUGGGCCGGUACUGACGCUGAGGUGCGAAAGCGUGGGGAGCAAACAGG